CCUACGUGAGGCAGCAGUGGGGAAUAUUGCACAAUGGGCGAAAGCCUGAUGCAGCAACGCCGCGUGAAGGAAGAAGGGUUUCGGCUCGUAAACUUCUAUUACCAGGGACGACAGAAAUGACGGUCCCUGCAUAAGAAGCCCCGGCUAACUACGGUCCAGCAGCCGCGUUAAUACGUCGGGGGCAAGCGUUAUCCGGAAUUACUUGGUGUAAAGGGUGAGUAGGCGGCAGCGUAAGCCAGAUGUGAAAGCCUUGGGCUUAACCCGAGGAUUGCAUUUGGAACUAUCAAGCUAGAGUACAGGAGAGGAAAGUGGAAUUCCUAGUGUAGCGGUGAAAUGCGUAGAUAUGAGGAAGAACACCAGUGGCGAAGGCGGCUUUCUGGACUGAAACUGACGCUGAGGCACGAAAGCGUGGGGAGCGAACAGGAUUAGAUACCCUUGUAGUC
rnacentral:rRNA from 1 species